GAGGAAAUACUUGCCAUCUUAUUCUAAAGCCAGUAUCACCUGAAUACCAAAUAAUACAUCACAAGGAAAGAAUACUAUAAAAAACAUUCCUUAUGAAUAUGAAUAAGAGAAUCCUUAACAUAAUACUAGCAAGCUGAAUCUAGCAAUAGAUAAAAUUAUAUACUAUAACCUAGUAUAAUUGUUUGAAGAAUGAAAGGUUGGUUCAAUUUAAUGAAAAUUAAAUAAUAAUAUAAUAAGCCAUGUUAGUAGAUUUAAAGACAAAAACCACAUGGUUGCACUCUAAACACAGAAAAAAGUAUUUGACAAAAGCCAACACAUAAUCAUGAUUAAAACAAAACAAAGCAAAACACUGGCGGGGGGGGGGGGGGGGGGACAACCAAAACCCCAAACACUGAACAAGUUAAGAAUGGAAGGGAACAUCCUCAACCUGAUCAGGAAAUCUAUGAAAAACCCAAAGCUUUUAUUAUACUAAAUGGUGGAAUGAUGAGAAAAAAAAACAAGGAUAUCUGCCUCUUUUAUUUAAUUUUGUUCUGAAAAAUCUUAGUUGGGCAAUUAGGCAAAGAAUAAGAAAUAAAAGACAUCCAGAGUUUAAGGAAGGAGACUGUCUUGUUCACAGAUAACAUGAUAAUGUGUAGACUAUUCUUGGAAUACACAUAAGUAUUAAAACUAAUAAGUGAGGAGAUAAGAUUUCUGAGUACAAAAUCAAUAUGCAAAAUCAGUUGUAUUUUUAUAUAACAGCAGUGAACAACCUGAAAAUGAUAUUGGUUAGUGUUUCAUUAUAUGAUCAACAUUCAUAAAUAUAUGUGGAUAAGAGUUGUUAAGAGUUGGACACUGAAAAUUGCAAAACAUUGAAAAAACUUAAUACAUAAGUAAGUGGAAAGAUAGUGUGUUUAUGCAUUGGAAGACAUAGACCCCAACUUGAGCUAUAGAUUUACCAUAGUCCGUAUCAAAACUUGAACUUCCUUUAUGCAGAAAUUGAUAACUGAUCCUCAAAUUCAUAUGGAAAGGGAUCUGGCAAUGCAGGCAUAAAAUACUUGGAGGAUUCGAACUUCUCAAUUUGAAUUAGGCAAGGCAUUCUCCCAUAUGACACCAAAAGGAAGGACAAGCAACCAAAGGGAAAAAAAAAUGGAUGCAUUGGACUUAAUCAAAUAAAUUUUUUAUGUCUCAAAGAAUACAUCAAAAAGGUGAAAUUACAUCCCACUUCUGAUAAAGAACUUGUUUUUUUUUUAAGAGUGAAAUUACAGCCCAUUUCUGACUAAGAACUGGUAUCUACAAUAUACAUUUAAUUAGUACUGCUCAAAUAUAAGAAACUAAUAACCUAAUUAAAAAUGAGAGAAAGAUCUGAGAAUACAUUACUCAAAAGAUAAGCAGAUGUCUAAUUGCAGCAGUCUGGCUGGGCACAAUCAGGAGCCACUUGUCAAAAGAAACUAACUUUAUUUUUA
rnacentral:lncRNA from 1 species